rnacentral:rRNA from 1 species
GACAGAGGGUGCAAACGUUGUUCGGAAUUACUGGGCGUAAAGGGUGCGUAGGUGGUUGUUUAAGUCUGUUGUGAAAGCCCCGGGCUCAACCUGGGAAUGGCAAUGGAUACUGGACAGCUAGAGUGCGGUAGAGGGUAGUGGAAUUCCCGGUGUAGCAGUGAAAUGCGUAGAGAUCGGGAGGAACACCAGUGGCGAAGGCGGCUACCUGGACCAGCACUGACACUGAAGCACGAAAGCGUGGGGAGCAAACAGG